rnacentral:rRNA from 1 species
UACGUAGGGUGCAAGCGUUGUCCGGAAUUAUUGGGCGUAAAGAGCUCGUAGGCGGUCUGUUGCGUCGGCUGUGAAAACCCGGGGCUCAACUCCGGGCCUGCAGCCGAUACGGGCAGACUAGAGUUCGGCAGGGGAGACUGGAAUUCCUGGUGUAGCGGUGAAAUGCGCAGAUAUCAGGAGGAACACCGGUGGCGAAGGCGGGUCUCUGGGCCGAUACUGACGCUGAGGCGCGAAAGCUGGGGGAGCAAACGGG